rnacentral:rRNA from 1 species
AGAGCUCAGAUUUGAAAUCGUGCUUUGCGGCACGAGUUGUAGAUUGCAGGUUGGAGUCUGUGUGGAAGGCGGUGUCCAAGUCCCUUGGAACAGGGCGCCCAGGAGGGUGAGAGCCCCGUGGGAUGCCGGCGGAAGCAGUGAGGCCCUUCUGACGAGUCGAGUUGUUUGGGAAUGCAGCUCCAAGCGGGUGGUAAAUUCCAUCUAAGGCUAAAUACUGGCGAGAGACCGAUAGCGAACAAGUACUGUGAAGGAAAGAUGAAAAGCACUUUGAAAAGAGAGUGAAACAGCACGUGAAAUUGUUGAAAGGGAAGGGUAUUGCGCCCGACAUGGGGAUUGCGCACCGCUGCCUCUCGUGGGCGGCGCUCUGGGCUUUCCCUGGGCCAGCAUCGGUUCUUGCUGCAGGAGAAGGGGUUCUGGAACGUGGCUCUUCGGAGUGUUAUAGCCAGGGCCAGAUGCUGCGUGCGGGGACCGAGGACUGCGGCCGUGUAGGUCACGGA